rnacentral:rRNA from 1 species
UGGGGAAUAUUGCGCAAUGGGCGGAAGCCUGACGCAGCGACGCCGCGUGGGGGAUGACGGCCUUCGGGUUGUAAACCUCUUUCGACCUCGACGAAGCUUUUCGGAGUGACGGUAGGGGUGGAAGAAGCACCGGCCAACUACGUGCCAGCAGCCGCGGUAAUACGUAGGGUGCGAGCGUUGUCCGGAAUUAUUGGGCGUAAAGAGCUCGUAGGCGGUGUGUCACGUCGUUCGUGAAAACCUGCAGCUUAACUGUGGGCGUGCGGUCGAUACGGGCAUCACUGGAGUUCGGCAGGGGAGACUGGAAUUCCUGGUGUAGCGGUGAAAUGCGCAGAUAUCAGGAGGAACACCGGUGGCGAAGGCGGGUCUCUGGGCCGAUACUGACGCUGAGGAGCGAAAGCGUGGGGAGCAAACA